CCUGGCGGCCGUAGCGCGGUGGUCCCACCUGACCCCAUGCCGAACUCAGAAGUGAAACGCCGUAGCGCCGAUGGUAGUGUGGGGUUUCCCCAUGCGAGAGUAG
rnacentral:rRNA from 1 species